rnacentral:rRNA from 1 species
CCCGCUGAACUUAAGCAUAUCAGUAAGCGGAGGAAAAGAAACUAACAAGGAUUCCCGCAGUAGCUGCGAGCGAACAGGGAAGAGCCCAGGUUUUAAAUCGCGCAAGCGAGUUGUAGGGUGUAGGCGUUGCUCUCGUGGUUGGGGCGCGCAGGUCCAAGUUCCUUGGAAGAGGACACCAGAGAGGGUGAGAGUCCCGUUGGAUCAGCAGCCCCGGUUUCAUGGGCAGCGCCGCAGAGUCGGGUUGUUUGGGAAUGCAGCCCAAAGCGGGUGGUAAAUCCCAUCCAAGGCUAAAUACGGGCAGGAGACCGAUAGCGAACAAGUACCGUGAGGGAAAGAUGAAAAGCACUUUGGAAAGAGAGUCAAAAGCACGUGAAAUUGUUAAAAGGGAAGCGAUUGGCGGUAGGAUUGGCGUGGAGCAAGGCUGUGGGGGUGUGUUGCUUUUCAGCACACAGCGGCCCUCUGCUCCACGGCAAAGUCAUUGACGGCUGGGGUGGAGUGAUCUAGGCCGCAGGAAGGUGGCGUCUCUGCGGGGGGGCUUUACAGACAGCGGCUGAAAGCAGCACAUGAGGCCGGGGAAGCAGGUGGGCAAGGGUGUUUGUUUUGUGGACGGCAGGACACGUGGCGAGACAGCGGGCCGCGCAUGCGGCAGCGGUGAGCUCGAAGCGGACUGCAAGGCACACAGGGGCAGGCACAGAUUGCACACAGAUGCAGAUGACGGAAUGUUGCCAAACGACCCGUCUUGAAACACGG